AACCCCUAUCUUUAGUUGCCAUCAUUGAGUUGGGCACUCUAAAGAGACUGCCGGUGUCAAACCGGAGGAAGGUGGGGAUGACGUCAAGUCCUCAUGGCCUUUAUGACCAGGGCUACACACGUACUACAAUGGCCGGUACAAAGGGCAGCGACACAGCGAUGGUGAAGCGAAUCCCGAAAAGCCGGUCUCAGUCCGGAUUGGAGUCUGCAACUCGACUCCAUGAAGUUGGAAUCGCUAGUAAUCGCGGAUCAGCACGCCGCGGUGAAUACGUUCCCGGGCCUU
rnacentral:rRNA from 1 species